ensembl:lncRNA
GCGCAGCGCAGCGCAGCGGCGGGCAGCGGCGCAGGGCUGCGGGCGGGGAUCCCCCGGCGUGACAGAGCAGAAAUGCCCGCUCAGGGGAAGCGGCCGAGGGACGCGCACAGAGCGCAUCGCAGGGCGUUGCUGGUGACAUUAACAUUGCUGAAUAAUGAAGGGAAAAGCAGCUUCGUUAAUUAACCACAGCCACUGCAUUAAGUCCAGGCUGAUACUGCACUCACGUGAAAGGAAAGGCACUGUGCCAUUGGACGAUGAACACAUGAGACAGCAGCUGGAGCUGCCCAAACUGAUUCCAGAUCAGAGCUGAAGUGUUUUAGUCCCUAUCAACGGGCAGAUUCUCCAUCCUAAUACCUUACUUAGGGCUGCUUUCCUUGGUUUCCCACUAUGUACUUCUAACCACUAUGCUAUUCCAGGUGUUGGUCACCCAGGGAGAGAUCCACCAAAAACUCAUGCAUGGGUUGGAAGAAAAGUUAAAGAGUAACCAGAAACUACUGGAGAAAUGGGACUCACCUGCAUGGAAGGGAAGUGAAGACUCACUUCAGCAUGAGCUUGCACAAGUCCAAAUUCUUGUUCUUUUACAUAAAACAUGCUCUUGCCAUGGGUUUAGGCCAUGCCCUAUGCUUCCUGACACUCAAACCCCAAACUCAGUGCAUGCUUUAGUGAAAGCACGGAGCUCUUCUCCUCCCAAGGGAGGCCAGCAGGACUGCCCUGGGCUUUGCUCUGUGUUCAGCCCUUCUGCAUAGAGGGUCAACAUCUGAACACAAAGCUAUUUGUUGAGUGGAUAGAGGGCAAUGGAGGUGGUAAUCCUGAUCAGAAGACCACUCUUUGCUUGCAGAGUAGCCCCAGGCUACACUCCGUGGUGUGUGGCACUGGGACAAUCUGUUGGAUCUAGGCUUAUCUCAUUCUGCAGUCAGCAAACUAGUGAUGGAGUUGAGCUAAAGCUGUCCAAUGGCUGAAUCAGUGAUGUCUCUUUGCAAGCUACUCUCCAUUUACACAACAAAUGAAUUACCAAUUGAGUUGCCAAGCAAAGGAACGGUCCAAUUUUGCAAUUAGAGCCUUGACAAAUAUACCAUUCACUGCCAGAGACAAAAGCAAAAGUUGCCAGUGUUUAGCAGAAGCAGAUGUUUUGGAAAGUUUUAAUGGAUUUCCCAACUUUCAAGCCACCAGCACCAGCCGGUGUAAUUCUUCCAGCUGUCCAAAUCUGUGUCUACUGAGCUGUGAGCAGACUGGGAGGAGAACUCCAGAAGAUGAGUUAUAUGGAGUUGUUAAGAGAAAGAGCAUUUUAACAGAAGGUGGAAUCUCAUUUUUUGGAGCUCUAUAGCUCUAUCUAUAGCUCAGCUGGGGAAAUGUGUGUUCAUCUAACGGAUAUGAAAGCCACAGCCCCUCAAAGCUUGCUAUAGAGCAUUUAAUCAAAUGGCUGUUGCUAAGCCUUGCACCACAAUGCAGGUGGCUUUCUCCAAUGGAAUUGAACUUCAUUUUGUGUUCUUUGAAAACUAAAGUUCAUUUUGGGCACACUCUCGUAAUUACAUUUGCUUAGAAAGCAAGGAUAGCCAGGCUGCUUUACUGAACCCUGUUCCUUUAAUUUAGCAAUACCCAUUUUGCCCAGCACACUGAACCCCCAUCAGCAUGGAUGGGGUUCCUUUCCCAGCUCUCCGCUCUUUGCUUCACUCACCUCCUGCACCUGCACAGGGCUGGGAGCAGUGAUGACCGCUGUGGUCAGUUUGCUCUACAAAUACCUUAGCCCCAAACAGGUGCCCAAAAGAGUCUCCUCACCUUGAUUUUGUAGCAAUUCCUAUUGGAACAUGGAAAACUCUGUAUUAUUUGACAUCAUAGCUAUUGUCUUGGUUUAUCUUUGCUGCAUGCUUUUUGAUAAGCAGCAGAAUCCUCACUGUAGAGGUGCAGAGAAGCAGUUGGACUGAACAACCACAUCACUGAUGUUUUGAUCAGAUUGCAUCUUACUGCAACUCCUGCACCUUAUCAUAGACCUUCACCUCAACCGAUUUCAGCCUCCAGAAUUAGGUUGAUGUCUCUAACUAAAACAAAAGUCUGGCAUGAGAAACAACUGAGAAGCUUAGCUGCGCAGACCCCACCAUUGCUCCAAAGGAAUUUCCAAAUGAAAUUAACCUGUGUUCCCACCAACUCACUAUGCCCAUAACUGACAACUUCCAGUUGCAGCCUCCUUCCUUCCACUCCCAAAAUGAGCUGAGGUUUUUCGCUUUUCUCUGCACAUUGCAUCUCCCAGCAUACCCACUUGCUGGCCUUCUCAGCAGCUUGGCCGCUAUUACUUCCCUUGGGGCACAUCUCAAGUGGGGCUGCACAGCAUUGGGCCAUGUUUGUGUGCUCCCAGCUGUGCUCAGAUAAGAUCUAAUCAGCACUCUGCAGGCAGGAAAACACCAUCUGGCUUGAGGUUUUACACUGUGCACCACCGUCUUCCUCUCUGGGCACUUAGUUCCUUGUAGUUUCAAUAACAUUGUCCUUAGUGAGCUCCAUGGAGUUUGGCACUUCUUUCCAUGUCACAGUUCUCCUUGUGGCAGGGCUCCCAGCUCAGGUUGGAAUUAAAUUAUUCAAUUAAUUAUAUAUAUAUAUAUAUUUCCUGUGAGUUGCAGUUUAAAAUAUUCCCCAUAGCAUCAGUGCCUCUCAUCUCCUGAGAAAGCUCACACUGUGUUAAAUGUGCUCCUGUUAAGAAAAAUAAAGUAUUUGCAAUAGCAUUUUGACCUUAUCCAUUCCAUCUCAGGAUGAACUUUGGAUGCUGAAUAUCCAGCUGUUGGCUGAAGGUGUCAGGGUAAACCUGCCAGGAAUACAUGUGCAAUCCCAAUGACAUUGCAAUUACAUGUAUGCUUUAAAAAAAUAGAGAAAAAUGAUGUCUGCAAGCACAGCUCUCAUGUGAGCUGCUGUGGUCAAAUCCUUCUUGUUUCAGGACCAGUGAUGCACCAAACUGCAGUGUGCAGAUCCUUGGAAAUGUUAUACCUCCUUACCCAGCUGAUCACACACAACAUGGGCAUGACAUACAACUUUUUACAGCCUUAUUUAGCCUUAACUAAGAACCUAAGCCAAGGUCAAGUAGUAAGGAGGUGACAGAAAGGUUCAUUUCUCUGGCAAAGGAACCUAAGAACAGAUAGCCAUGGAUUCACGAAUGGAUGACACUAAUGAGAACAAAACCCUGCAAUUAAGUGGAGCUCAUCCUGCUCUUGCACAGCUGCUUCCACCCUUUGCUGACACCUCUUGUUCUGCAAAGGCAAACAGACCAGCAUCAUCAAGCAUUGCAGGGACUGCCUGGAAAGAUUCAGACCUCUUGGCGAUUGUGCACACACCAUUUGCACUGACCCUUAGACUUCGGUUGCACUCACUGAGCAGUCAAGGCCAUUGCCCUCCUGCCUACGUGGUUACAUGGAGUGCUCAUGCCGUGGACGAAGGCCAAGAAAAACCACAACGCAUCUGCAAUUUUGCCUACAAGCCAAGGACCUGAACUCAUCUCACCUAUUCAAGUGCAUACACCAAGCCCGGGCUUGCUGUCAGGCUUAGGUCCAACCAACUUGCUUGCUCCCCACCCAGAGGUGGGAUGGAGGUGCCCCCUGCUCAGCGUCCAUUGAAUAGCAAAGCCAGAGUUGGUGGUGGUGUAGAUGGCACACCCAUCUUCCGACUCACGCUAUCCUAUGGUGCUAUGACUCUAUGAUUCUAGGACUUCUAGGACAGGGGACAGACUCUAUAGCAAGGUCUGUUGUGAUAGGACAAGAGGAAAUGGUUUCAAACUGAAAGUGGGGAGAUUUAGAUUGGACAUAAGGAAGAAGUUUUUUACAAUAAGGGUGCUGAGGCACUAGAACAGGUUGCCUAGGGAGGAGGUAAAUGCCCCAUCCCUGGAGAAGCUCAAUGUCUUCAAUGUCAGUGCUGUCAAUGAGCUUCAGGCAGUGCCAUUGUCUAGGUGGUCUCAGAUUAUCAAAGCAAAGCAGAUCUACCAAAGGCAGUGAACUGAAAAUCACAGCAUGAAAGAGCACAUCUAGGCCAGACCCUCUGCUAACACCCAAGCAGUACUGCC